CAUGAGGGAUGUCAGCUUGAGUGACUUAAAAAGUUGCGCUCCUGAGAGUUCAAAGAAAAUGCCUACAGUUCAUGAACUGAACAUCUACUCCAGUGUGGUCUUCAACCUCUUGACAGAACUCUCCUGACAGUGCCGUCAGUGCUUCUCAAAGCAUCCUAUGGCAAUGUCUCCAACAACUCACAGCCAGAAUAUCA
rnacentral:lncRNA from 1 species